UAAAAUGUAGUUGAAUACGCCUAUGAGUCUAACCUGAAGUUAGCCGUUCCUCUAAUUUGAUAAUUCUACACAGUUAUCUGUUAUAAAUCGACUCAGAUGAAUAUUCUAUUAUUUAGAUGUACAAUAUAAGGAAAAUAGUAGAAAAUUAUGUCAAUUUUAUAUGAUAUAAUCAAGAAGUUCUAUUUCUGUGAAAGGAUUACAUAUGAUACAUUGAACAAAAUUUAAUUAUACUAUACAAUUCAUAUUAUUUCUACGGAACAGGAAUCUUAACCUCACAAAUAAGGAAUUUUAUCCAUUAUCAACGUAAGUAUAGGUUUUUUCACACAGUACAUAAUAAAAAUACAAUUGAAUUUAUUCCAUACAGAUGGACCGCAUUGUAUAAUAAAGAUGAAAUUAUAUAUUAGCAAACUUCAAUAACUACAUUAAUUUGUUUAUUGCCAUCAAAUUUUUUGAAAGCUAUAAAAUUAGUUGUAUAGGCAAUAUAAAAAUUACAAUAGAUCUCUUAAACAGAAUGCAAUGUCUGUGUAUAAACGAUGCGAGCAACAGUACUUGUGGAUCGAUCACCCAAAGAUAGAAAUAAGCUAAUACACACUUCAAAUUACCCUUAAAAACCUAUAAUAUUUCUCACAUAGCAGUAAUAUGAUAUUUAUAAUAGUGGAUUCAUGAUUAUUCAGUAUAAACAGUGUAUUCAGUAUUUAUAAAACAAUUCGGUAAUAAAAAAGUGUUAGCUUUGUGUUAUUUGUAUGUUGACCCUACCACUAUUGUCUUUUGCAAGAAUAUGGAGAUACUGAAGAAUGAAAAAUGUAUUUGAUGAAAAAAGUUUUUUGUUGAAAAAAUUAAGUUCUGAGACCAAAAUAUAAUACAACUAAACUAAAAUAUAAAUAAAAAACAAAAUAAAUUUCUCUAAUUUAUUAUUCCAUAGACCUUUUGACAUAUUGAUGCUGAUAAAUGUUCUUAAUUUUAGACCUUUUCUGUUCUAAAAUUUUUUUCUAAUAAUUUUUGAAACAGUGAUAAAAAAUUGACGUUUCCACUUAACUUCAGUCUUUAUCAAAAUAUGAUAUUGACACUGCAAUUUUAAUUACCAGAUCGUAGUUAAUGCAGUUAAUUUUCUAAAUAUUGAGAGGUCUGCCCUAUGUAGACAGCGUCACAAUUUUACAAGGCACUUGAUAUAUAAUAUUACUUCUUUUGUUUUUUUGGUGUUUUAGAUUUUAAUUUAGUGAAAUAUUUGGAUAAUGUAUUAUGUCCUUUAUGACUUAUACUAAUAUUAUAUUAAUUGAAAUUAUUUGAUAAUUGCUGGGAAAGUCCUUGUACAUAUGGUACGGGAAAAUGUUUUAUGUUAUCAAGUUUUGUUUCUGUUUUGUUUUUUAAUUGAUUAUAGUAUCUGUUCAUCCCUUUCUUGAAUAUGUUGUUUAUCAUUUUUUCCGGAUAAUUAUUUUCUUUCAAUGCAUGAAUAACAUGAAUUGAAAUUCAAAUAUCUUGAGGACCAAGUUGGUUUUAUAUACCAUUCUCUUCUUAUGUUAUUGUUAAUUUUGUAUAAUGUGACAUCAAGAAAAUUGAUUUUAUUAUUUUGUUCGAUUGUGAAUUAGAGUUUUUUAUGAUAAGAAUUGAAUUUUUUAUUUAUGUUUUCAAUUUGAUCCUUUGGUAAGGCAGUAAUCAACUACAUAUCGGAAAAGAAUGGAAUAAUUAUAUUAAGUUUGCUUAGAACCGUUUCCUUAAGAUCUUCCAUUACUAAUUAUGCUAUAACACUUGAAAUGGAAGCUCUCGUAGCACAACCAUCAAUUUGUUUGUAUAUUUCAUUUUCAUAUUUGAAGUAUGUUAUUGUAAGUGAAGUUCUAUAGCUUUUAUAAAUUAGUUUUGAGGUAUUUCUGUAUAUUCUUUACUUUUGUCCCAUAUUUUUAUCAAUAUAUUUUUUAUAUUGGUAA